rnacentral:lncRNA from 1 species
AGAGGGACAUUCAUGUAAAACCUACCUAAGCCGACUCCUAUUAAAGAGGUGAAGAGGCCGGCUAGGGUUAGGAGGUUGUUUCUUAUAGAUGAAUUAGGAGUUGUAAAGGAAUAGGAGUCUUGAGUAGAAGUCCUAUUAAGAGUUGGUUAGAAGUAGGAGUCUUGAGUAGAAGUCUUAUUAAGAGUUGGUUAGAAGUAGGAGUCUUGAGUAGGAGUCCUAUUAGGAGUUAGGGUUUAGAAACCCUAUAAACAGCCAUGUAUUCCUCCUCUUUUGAUAAGCAAUAGAUGAAUCUUUUUUGCAGCCUUUGAGUAGCAACUUGGAGGGAAGAAGCCCUAUAGAGUUCAAGGAGGCCGAUCCCCUAAAGAGAUCAACCCAAGUUUAGAAUCUACAAGGGUUCGUUCUAUCACAAAACAGCCGCAAAACAAGCCUAAAUCGUAGCCUACAUCCACCGAUCCACCGACCCUUUCAACCAUCACUUCUCUCAACCUAUACAUGUCUUUAACCUGACAACAAAAGAGAGAUCUUAAUAUGUCAUAUUUAGAGGUAUAUACUAUGGCAUCUGAAGAGGCAAUGAAUACUAAAUUCGAAGCCUUCGAGGAGCGAAUGGAGAAUAAGAUUCAGACGCUCUUUACCGAACUUAGAUUGGGCCGACCACUAAGCCCAAAGAAAUCACAUAAAGGAGAGAGCUUUACCCAAUCAUACCAAGCCCAAAGAGAUGACUUCCAAGGGAGGGGAGGCUCUAUGACCGACCCCAAUUAUCCACGCAUGAGAUUGAAUUUUCCUAGAUGGGAAGAAGGAGACCCGAUUGGUUGGAUUUCACAUGCAGAGUGAUAUUUUUGGUACCACAAAACUACAGACGCAUCUAUGGUAAAAAUUACAGCUAUACAUCUUGAAGGGGAUGCAAUACAGUGGUUUGACUGGUUUGAACACACUUAUGGAGUCCUUUCAUGGUGACAAUUCAAGGAAGGACUGCUGAUCGGCUUUAGACCAACCGAUUACGAGAAUAUUGACGGACAACUAGCAAAGAUCCGACAAACCUCCACCAUUCAGGAGUACCAAACCAGAUUUGAAAGGUUAUCUAAUCAAACUCGUGAUUGGUCUCAAAAACAGCUAUUGAGGAACUUCAUUGAGGGCUUGAAGUCGGAGAUCCGAGGAGAAGUUAAAGCGCGACAACCGUACAUGCUUAUGGCAGACAUAUCUUUCGCACGACAUCAAGAGGAGCAAUUGAACCAUGAAGAUCGGAGGACUAGGGUCACUCUUCAACCAGCAAUAUUGAAUCACUCAGCCCCCCCUACUAUCGAUUGAGUCCCUACACCAAAGAGAUUAACAAAAGAAGAGCUUCAGGAGCGAUAUGCGAAGGGAUUAUGUUGGUAUUGCGAUGAGCUAUGGAGUCGUGAGCAUCGCUGUAGUAAAGGGAGACUUCUUAUGAUUGAACCAAAAGAGGAAGAGGUCAUUGAAUAUCCAAAAGAGAGCCUUAAACAUGAUGAAGAAGAUGUAGAAAAAGAGCCACAAUCGACCGAAGUUGUGGUACAUGCACUAGCCAGCUACUCAAACCCACAAACGAUGAAAGUUGGAGGCCUUCUCAAACAACAACCGAUCAUUAUUCUUAUCGACACGGGCAGUACUAAUAACUUUCUAAAUAGUAAGGUUGCUGUUCAGAUGGCCUUACCUAUUGAGAAUUGCAGCGGGUUUGACGUUAAGGUUGCCGAUGGAUGGAUUUUGAAGUAUGAUCGUAGGCGCCCGCAAGUGAAACUGUUGUUGAUCAUGAGGUCUUACCAAGAGAUAAUUGCAUAUUUCUUCCUUCUCCCUCUUGAUGAUCAUGAGGUCAUGCUCAAAAUUAAAUGGUUGAUGACAUUAUGUGAUAUUUCUUAGAAUUUUAUGCUACUAAUUAUGAAAUUUUACAGUAAGGAGAAACAUGUGAUACUAAACGGGAAACGUGGGGGUGACGUAAUGACAAUUUGCACACAAUAAAUGGAGAAGGUUUUGCAUAAAGCAUGCAGUGGCUUUUUAGUACAACUUGAGCUGCAAACUAUGGGAGAGCCAAUAGAAUUUGAAGAUCCAAACCUAUUUCCUUUGCUUGCUAAAUUUUCAGAUAUAUUUGAUGAACCACACAACCUACCUCUUACCCGUCGGCAUGAUCAUUAUAUAACGAUUUUUUCAGGCAAACCUCCAGCAAAUACUCGACCAUAUCAGUAUCUACAUCUUCAGAAGGAUGAAAUAGAAAGGAUUGUAAAAGAGAUACUCGAAACAGGAGUUAUUCAGCCAAGUUACAACCUCUACUCUUCACCGGUGCUACUUGUACGCAAGAAGGACGGAACAUGAGGAAUAUGCGUUGAUUACCGAGCUCUCAAUGGCAUAACCAUCAAGGAUAAAUAUCCUAUUCCAGUAAUAGAUGAAUUGCUAGAUGAAACGGAGCAUAAAUCUUCACAAAGCCGAACCUUCGAUCCGGGUAUCAUCAAAUACGAGUGUACAAAGAAGUCAUACCGAAAUCCGCCUUUCGAACACACAACGGCCACUAUGAAUUUUUACUUUCUUCAGCAAAAGGUGGAAUAUCUAGGGCAUAUCAUAUCAGAGAAAUGUGUGAGAGUGGACCCCAUCAAAAUUGGAGCAAUGCAAAACUGGCCUACCUCGAGGAACAUAAAAUUGCUACAUGGCUUUCUGGGUUUAACAGGCUACUACCGUAAGUUCGUGAAAAACUAUAGAAAGAUCAGUGCACCACUCACUUCUCUACUGAAAAAUGAUACCUUCCAAUGGUUGGACAAAGCCUCCGCUGCCUUCGACAAACUUAAGGCAGCCAUGACGACGAUUCCGGUGCUAGUGCUACCAGAUUUCAACCGACCCUUUAUCAUUGAGGCCGAUGCAUCUAGAGACAGAAUGGGAGUCGUUCUCAUGCAAGAUGGUCGACCACUCACAUACACUAGCAAGGCAUUGUCUCCCCCCUGUCAAAACAUAUUAACAUAUGAUAAGGAGAUGCUUGCCAUUGUGCGCGCAGCAACGAGGUGGAGAUCGUACUUGAUCAAGCGAUGCUUUCAAAUCAAGACCGACCAUAAAAGUCUAAAAUACUUUUUGGAGCAAAUGAUAUCAUCCCCUGAGCAGCAAAAAUGGGUAACAAAACUUCUUGGAUUUGAUUAUGAAAUAACUUACAAAAAGGGGAAAGAGAAUGUUGUUGUAGAUGCACUUUCACGGCUACCUGAGCAAGCUGAAUUUUCGACCGUUUCACUUUCAACUAGUGACUUCCUUGAGGAUAUUAAGAUGAAAUGACAGGAAGAUUUGGAGACCAGUAAGAUCAUAAAAAAAUUGGAGAAAGCACCAAGCCCCGUGGCUCAUUACAGUUGGGACUCAAAAGAAUUACACUAUAAGGGACGCAUUGUGCUUAUGACAAAUUCUACUUGUAUUUUCACGAGCAGAUUUUGGACAAAAUUAUUCCAUAUGCAGGGUACUAAAUUGAAAAGGAGUAUGACAUAUCACCCAAAAACCGAUAGCUAGACGAAAGUUGUAAAUAGGUGCUUGGAGACAGUCAAAAGCCAUCCACCAAAUAUAACUACCCAAGGAGAAUUCCAAACCCAGCCAAAUGCCAUUAUUGAUCGAUGGAUCAUGACUCGACGACGACGACCUACUAAUGAAGUGCUAAUACCGUGGGCGAACCUACUAAUAGAAGAUGCCACUUGGGAGAACUAUGACGACUUGAAGAUCAAAUUUCCAGAAUUUAUUAAUCAUCAGCCUCGAGGACAAGGCUGAUUUGAAGAGGGCGGGUCUGUUAGGACUCUAGCUUGGAGAGUCCUAAUUGAGAGGGACAUUCAUGUUAAACCUACCCAAGCUGACCCCUAUUAAAGAGAUGAAGAGGCCGACUAGGGUUAGGAGGUUGUUUCUUAGAGAAGAAUUAGGAGUUGUAAAGGAAUAAGAGUCUUGAGUAGGAGUCCUAUUAGGAGUUGGUUAGAAGUAGGAGUCUUGAGUAGGAGUCCUAUUAGGAGUUAGGGUUUAGAAGCCCUAUAAAUAGUCAUGUAUUCCUC